UCCGGUUUGUCACCGGCGGUCUCCUUAGAGUUCCCAACUGAAUGAUGGCAACUAAGGACAAGGGUUGCGCUCGUUGCGGGACUUAACCCAACAUCUCACGACACGAGCUGACGACAGCCAUGCAGCACCUGUCUCGCGAUUCCCGAAGGCACCCGGACAUUUCUGUCCAGUUCCGCGGAUGUCAAGGCCAGGUAAGGUUCUUCGCGCUGCAUCGAAUUGAACCACAUGCUCCACCGCUUGUGCGGGUCCCCGUCAAUUCCUUUGAGUUUUAAUCUUGCGACCGUACUCCCCAGGCGGAAUGCUUAAAGCGUUAGCUGCGCCACUGACGGGCAAGCCCGCCAACGGCUAGCAUUCAUCGUUUACGGCGUGGACUAC
rnacentral:misc_RNA from 1 species